AAAAACAUCGCUCCUUGAUAUUAUUAUAUAAGGAGUCGGACCUGCCCAGUGAUUUAUUUAACGGCCGCGGUACUCUGACCGUGCAAAGGUAGCAUAAUCAUUUGCCUUAUAAUUGAAGGCUAGUAUGAAAGGUUUAACAAGAAUAUUACUGUCUCAAUACGAUUAAUUAGAAUUUUAUUUUUAGGUGAAGAAGCCUAAAUUAAAUUAAUAGACAAGAAGACCCUAUCGAGCUUUAAAUAAUUAUGAAGACUAUUUAUUAAUAAAUUUAAAAAAUUAACUUCUAAAAAUUUUAGUUGGGGCGACUAAGGAACAAUUAAAGCUUCCUUAAUUAAAUUAUUAUAUACAAAUAUUGAUCCAAAAAUUAUGAUUAAUGGAAUUAGUUACCGUAGGGAUAACAGCAUAAUCUUUUUUAAGAGCUCUUAUCGAAAAAAAGGUUUGUGACCUCGAUGUUGGACCAAAAUAUCCUAAAGAUGCAGCAGUCUUUAAUGGUUGGUCUGUUCGACCAUUAAAAUUUUACGUGA
rnacentral:rRNA from 1 species